AACUAUUUUAAAAGGUGUCUUGAAAACACCGAUAAGAAAAUUUUUCUAGUAGUUU
rnacentral:tRNA from 1 species